UACGUAGGGGGCUAGCGUUGUCCGGAUUUAUUGGGCGUAAAGAGCGUGUAGGCGGCCAGAUAAGUCUGCUGUGAAAACUCGAGGCUCAACCUCGAGCUGUCGGCGGAAACUAUUUGGCUAGAGUCCGGAUGAGGAAAGCGGAAUUCCUGGUGUAGCGGUGAAAUGCGCAGAUAUCAGGAAGAACACCCGUGGCGAAGGCGGCUUUCUGGGACGGUACUGACGCUGAGACGCGAAAGCGUGGGGAGCGAACAGG
rnacentral:rRNA from 1 species